UACGGAGGAUGCAAGCGUUAUCCGGAUUCAUUGGGUUUAAAGGGUGCGUAGGCGGGCUAUUAAGUCAGUGGUGAAAUCCUGCAGCUUAACUGCAGAACUGCCGUUGAUACUGAUAGUCUUGAGUUUGGUUAAGGUAGGCGGAAUGUGUAAUGUAGCGGUGAAAUGCUUAGAUAUUACACAGAACACCAAUUGCGUAGGCAGCUUACUGAGCCGACACUGACGCUGAGGCACGAAAGCGUGGGGAUCAAAC
rnacentral:rRNA from 1 species